CCCUCUGUCAAGAUCCCGCCGGCCGGCGAGGGGAGAGGGGCGAGGGGCUGCCGGGAUUCCGGGCUGCGGCGACUGAUCUUUUCCGAGAAUCCUCCACUGGCUGUGCCUUCGGGCAGUGCGAGAGGGGCGUGAGGUUAACUUCCAGGCUUUUCCUUAAAGCGUCCGGCGAAUAACCCGGGUGUUUGCAGAAUUAAUGAGUUGCACAGGAGGCUCAGCGCGGGGGCCCUGACUUGGAGAGCCCGGGUGCGGCGACGGGGACCCAGUCCUGGAGCGCAGGGCGCACCGCCUGGGAUUAGAGGUCGACACUGGCCUUCUCCCAGGUGAAAGAAAAGGUGACUUGGCAGAAAGAAGAGCUGGACGUUGACUAGAAGGUUCCAGAAGACAUCAUGGGGAGACAUCUCAGGAAGGAAAAGUGAAUUAUCCACAAGGAUACAGGGGCGGUGCUCCCCAUCGAAGGCUGGCAUCAAGAAAGACUUUGAGGUCAGAAUCCAGACACGGGAUUGGAGGUGCUGAUGAACUCUGCUGCGGCACAGACUUUGGGGAGAAGAACUCCAGCGAGGUUAGCAGAGGAGCCGAGAUUGGAAGAGGACUCAAAGAAUGGAAGAUGUCAGCGAUUUACCAGUAGUAUGGGAGUCUCCAAGAAUCCAGGUUUAACAUUCAAGGCAAAGACCCCUCACCUGGAGGCCUCUGUCCACCUGAGCAUUCUUCAAGGAUCUCCUUGGGUCCCAGGUUAUCUAAUUUUUGGAUGGAGCGGGGAGCAGGGGACAGGCCAUCCAGACAGCAUUGAAGGGACUUCCCUGGUGUUGCAGUGAUUAGACUCUGCCUGCCAAUGUAAGGGGCCCAGGUUCCAUCCCUGGUCAGGGAACUAGAUCUCACAUGCUGCAACUAACUAGAGUUCAAAUGCUGCCACUAGAGAUCCUGCAUGCCAAAACCAAGACCUGGAGCAGCCAAAUAAAUAAAAUAAAUAAAAAUAAAUAUAUAUAUAUAUAUAAAAAGACAGCAUUGAAGACUAAAGACCUAUGUGUGUUCAGGAUCAGGAGUUCUGUUUUCAUUUCUUUACUGAGACUAUGGACAAGUAGUGGAACUUGUCACUUGAUCAAAUCUGUCAAAAAUGAGAAUGUUUACCCCCUAGUGGUAAAGAACCUGCCUGCCAGUGCAGGAGCUGUGAGACGUGGGUUCGAUCCCUGGGUCAGGAAGAUCCCCUGGAGGAGGGCAUGGCAACCCACUCCAGUAUUCUUGCCUGGAGAAUUCUAUGGGCCGAAGAGUCUGGUGGGCUACAGAGUGGGACACAACUGAAGUGACUUAGCACAGCCCCAACCCAUUGGACUGUGGAGACCAGGAAAUGAAGAGGGGUGAAGAGAAGCCCCCGACGUGGGGCUGGCACCCAAGAGGUCAUGAGCAGAGGAGCACGUGGGCUAGCCCA